rnacentral:snoRNA from 1 species
CCUCGCCCCCAUGAUAUCUAGCCAUGGGCUCUGACCUCCCCUGAGGACGCUGUGCCCCUGGGACCUCUGACACCCAGGCAUCUGUUCUGGCGAGG